GCCAUUUAAAGUGGUACGCGAGCUGGGUUCAGAACGUCGUGAGACAGUUCGGUCCCUAUCUGCCGUGGGCGUUGGAUGAUUGAAGGGAGUUGCUCCUAGUACGAGAGGACCGGAGUGAACGAACCUCUGGUGUUCGGGUUGUCACGCCAGUGGCACUGCCCGGUAGCUAAGUUCGGAAUCGAUAACCGCUGAAAGCAUCUAAGCGGGAAGCGAGCCCUGAGAUGAGUCAUCCCUGACCCCUUGAGGGUCCUAAAGGGCCGUUGGAGACCACAACGUUGAUAGGUGGGGUGUGUAAGCGCGGUGACGUGUUGAGCUAACCCAUACUAAUUACCCGUGAGGCUUAACCAUACAACACCCAAGAAGUGUUCU
rnacentral:rRNA from 1 species